CUACGGGGGGCUGCAGUCACGGAAACUUUACAAUGCGCGAAAGCGUGAUAAGGGUAUCCCAAGUGCUUUGCUUAUUGUAAGGCUUUUGCCAAGUGUAAAGAGCUUGGCGAAUAAGUGGUGGGUAAGACUGGUGCCAGCCGCCGCGGUAACACCAGCGCCACAGGUGGUAACCACGUUUAUUGGGCCUAAAGCGUUCGUAGCCGGUUUGAUAAGUUUCUUGUGAAAUUGUUUGGCCUAACCAAACAACGUGCAAGAAAUACUGUCUAACUUGGGACCGGGAGGAGUUAGAGGUAUUCCAUGGGGAGCGGUAAAAUGCUAUAAUCCUUGGAGGACCACCAAUGGCGAAGGCUUCUAACUAGAACGGAUCCGACGGUCAGGAACGAAGGCUAGGGGAGCAAAACGGAUUAGAUACCCCGGUAGUC
rnacentral:rRNA from 1 species